GACGAACGCUGGCGGCGUGCUUAACACAUGCAAGUCGAACGGAAAGGCCCUGCUUUUGUGGGGUGCUCGAGUGGCGAACGGGUGAGUAAAACGGGGGUAACCUGCCCUUGACUUUGGGAUAACUCCGGGAAACUGGGGCUAUUACCGGAUAGGAGCUCCUGCUGCAGGGUGGGGGUUGGAAAGUUUCGGCGGUUGGGGAUGGACUCGCGGCUUAUCAGCUUGUUGGUGGGGUAGUGGCUUACCAAGGCUUUGACGGGUAGCCGGCCUGAGAGGGUGACCGGCCACAUUGGGACUGAGAUACGGCCCAGACUCCUACGGGAGGCAGCAGUGGGGAAUAUUGCACAAUGGGCGGAAGCCUGAUGCAGCAACGCCGCGUGCGGGAUGACGGCCUUCGGGUUGUAAACCGCUUUCGCCUGUGACGAAGCGUGAGUGACGGUAAUGGGUAAAGAAGCACCGGCUAACUACGUG
rnacentral:rRNA from 1 species